rnacentral:rRNA from 1 species
AGUGAACGCUGGCGGUAGGCCUAACACAUGCAAGUCGAACGGCAGCACAGUAAGAGCUUGCUCUUACGGGUGGCGAGUGGCGGACGGGUGAGGAAUACAUCGGAAUCUACUUUUUCGUGGGGGAUAACGUAGGGAAACUUACGCUAAUACCGCAUACGACCUACGGGUGAAAUCAGGAGAUCUUCGGACCUUGCGCGAUUGAAUGAGCCGAUGUCGGAUUAGCUAGUUGGCGAGGUAAAGGCCCACCAAGGCGACGAUCCGUAGCUGGUCUGAGAGGAUGAUCAGCCACACUGGAACUGAGACACGGUCCAGACUCCUACGGGAGGCAGCAGUGGGGAAUAUUGGACAAUGGGCGCAAGCCUGAUCCAGCCAUACCGCGUGAGUGAAGAAGGCCUUCGGGUUGUAAAGCUCUUUUGUUGGGAAAGAAAAGCAGCAGGUUAAUACGCCGCUGUUCUGACGGUACCCAAAGAAUAAGCACCGGCUAACUUCGUG